rnacentral:rRNA from 1 species
AUUGAACGCUGGCGGCAGGCCUAACACAUGCAAGUCGAGCGGGGUUUUCGGACCUAGCGGCGGACGGGUGAGUAAUGCGUAGGAAGCUGCCCGAUAGAGGGGGAUACCAGUUGGAAACGACUGUUAAUACCGCAUAAUGUCUACGGACCAAAGUGUGGGACCUUCGGGCCACAUGCUAUCGGAUGCGCCUACGUGGGAUUAGCUAGUUGGUGAGGUAAUGGCUCACCAAGGCGACGAUCUAUGGCUGGUUUGAGAGGAUGAUCAGCCACACUGGAGCUGAGACACGGUCCAGACUCCUACGGGGGGCAGCAGUGGGGAAUAUUGGACAAUGGGCGCAAGCCUGAUCCAGCCAUGCCGCGUGUGCGUAGAAGGCCUUCGGGUUGUAAAGCACUUUCAGCGAGGAGGAAGGGGUGUGUGUUAAUAGUACACACCUUUGACGUUACUCGCAGAAGAAGCACCGGCUAACUCUGUGCCAGCCGCCGCGGUAACAC